rnacentral:rRNA from 1 species
GGGAGGCAGCAGUCGGGAAUUUUGCACAAUGGGAGAAAGCCCGAUGCAGCGAAGCCGCGUGAGCGAAGAAGGCGUUAGGGUUGUAAACCUCUGUUGCCCGGGAAGAAAUGCCCCGCAAGGGGAGCUGACGGUACCGGGUGAGGAAGCCCCGGCUAACUACGUGCCAGCAGCCGCGGUAACACGUAGGUGGCGAGCGUUGUCCGGAAUUACUGGGCGUAAAGGGAGCGUAGGCGGCCGGUUAAGUCAGGGGUGAAAUCCCCCGGCUCAACCGGGGGCAUGCCUCUGAAACUGGUUGGCUUGAGGGUGGCAGAGGGCAGUGGAAUUCCCGGUGUAGCGGUGAAAUGCGUAGAUAUCCGGAGGAACACCAGUGGCGAAGGCGGCUCCCUGGGGCAUUCACUGACGCUGAGGCUCGAAAGCUGGGGGAGCAAACAGGAUUAGAUACCCUGGUAGUCCCAGCCGUAAACGAUGAGCACUAGGUGUGGGGGGUAUCGACCCCCUCCGUGCCG